rnacentral:rRNA from 1 species
UGCGUAGGGGGCAAGCGUUGUCCGGAUUUAUUGGGCGUAAAGAGCGUGUAGGCGGUCUGGUAGGUCCGUUGUGAAAACUCGAGGCUCAACCUCGAGACGCCGAUGGAAACCAUCAGACUAGAGUCCGGAAGAGGAGAGUGGAAUUCCUGGUGUAGCGGUGAAAUGCGCAGAUAUCAGGAAGAACACCCGUGGCUAAGGCGGCUCUCUAGUACGGUACUGACGCUGAGACGCGAAAGCGUGGGGAGCGAACAGG